GGGGAAUGCGGGUAGCGCUUCGUCGCACCAGAAACCCUUUGUGAACUUAUACCUAUACUGUUGCCUCGGCGCUGGCCGGCCUCCUCACCGAGGCCCCCUGGAGACAGGGAGCAGCCCGCCGGCGGCCAAACAAACUCUUGUUUCUUAGUGAAUCUCUGAGUAAAAAAACAUAAUGAAUCAAAACUUUCAACAACGGAUCUCUUGGUUCUGGCAUCGAUGAAGAACGCAGCGAAAUGCGAUAAGUAAUGUGAAUUGCAGAAUUCAGUGAAUCAUCGAAUCUUUGAACGCACAUUGCGCCCUCUGGUAUUCCGGAGGGCAUGCCUGUUCGAGCGUCAUUUCAACCCUCAAGCCUGGCUUGGUGUUGGGGCACCGCCUUUGCAAAAGGGCGGGCCCUGAAAUCUAGUGGCGAGCUCGCCAGGACCCCGAGCGUAGUAGUUAUAUCUCGUUCUGGAAGGCCCUGGCGGUGCCCUGCCGUUAAACCCCCAACUUCUGAAAUUUUGACCUCGGAUCAGGUAGGAAUACCCGCUGAACUUAAGCAUAUCAAAAGCCGGAGGAA
rnacentral:rRNA from 1 species